rnacentral:rRNA from 1 species
GUGCAGCAGGCGAGAAACCUCCGCAAUGCGCGCAAGCGCGACGGGGCCAUCCCGAGUGCCGCUCGCUGAGGGCGGCUUUUCUCCGGUGUAAGUAGCCGGAGGAAUAAGGAGAGGGCAAGUCUGGUGUCAGCCGCCGCGGUAAUACCAGCUCUCCGAGUGGUGGGGACGAUUAUUGGGCCUAAAGCGUCCGUAGCCGGCCUGACAAGUCUCCCGUUAAAUCCAGCGGCCUAACCGCUGGGCUGCGGGAGAUACUGUCAAGCUUGGGGGCGGGAGAGGCCAGCGGUAUCCCCGGGGUAGGGGUGAAAUCCGUUAAUCCCGGGAGGACCACCAGUGGCGAAGGCGGCCGGCCAGAACGCGCCCGACGGUGAGGGACGAAAGCGUGGGGGGAGCGGAACCGGAUUAGAUACCCCU